rnacentral:tRNA from 2 species
GCUGAGGUAGUGUAGUGGUUAGCACGUAGGAUUUUGAUUUGAAUCAUUCAAACGUUCCUGAAUCCCCGGUUCGAACCCGGGCCACAGCU